AUUGCGUUUGGACCGAAAAUCGACGAUUUUCCAGAAAUCACGAUAUAAACAUGGCUUGCACAUAUUCUGAUGGUUAUAUUCAAGAACCUACUGAUUUUUUCGGAUUCAUUGAGUUUGGACCGAAAAUCGACGAUUUUACGAAAAUCACUGUAUAAACAUGGCAUGCACGAAUUCUGA